rnacentral:rRNA from 1 species
UACGUAGGGUGCAGGCGUUAAUCGGAAUUACUGGGCGUAAAGCGUGCGCAGGCGGUCUUUUAAGUCAGAUGUGAAAUCCCCGGGCUUAACCUGGGAACUGCGUUUGAAACUGGAAGGCUUGAGUGUGGCAGAGGGGGGUGGAAUUCCGCGUGUAGCAGUGAAAUGCGUAGAGAUGCGGAGGAACACCGAUGGCGAAGGCAGCCCCCCUGGGCUAACACUGACGCUCAGGCACGAAAGCGUGGGGAGCAAACAGG